AGCUCAGUGGUAGAGCAGCGGUUUCGUAAACCGAAACUGCUUGGUCCGAAUCUGGCA
rnacentral:tRNA from 1 species